UGAAUUGGGCAAUACGAUUAGGGUUAGUGAUUGGGACUUGGUCACGAUUCAAUUAAGACUUGAUCUAUUAAUUGGAUUAAUUGCGAGACAAUUUUUUUUUUUCUAUCAUAUUCUCCGGAAUAUGUUAGAGGUACCCUAGUUGGCCCAUGAAUGGCCAUGCCAAAGGUCGAAAGACUUCUUCCUUUAUAUCUGUAAAAUAGUCCUGAAUUGCAUAUCCUCUGUCUUUUCUCUGUUCUUGUAGAGAGGUCUCUCCAGUCUCCACCGCCUUACUCCCCUCUCCAAAAAUCAGAGAGGGAUCAGAGUAUCAUGCAAGGCGACCCCCCUCCAUCCCUUAUUAUUUGCAAAACCAGAGAAUUCAUAGAAAAAUGUCUAGAAUCUCAGCCAAGCAACAAUCUGUUAUAAUUAUCCUCUUAGUGCUUACAUUGACACAAUUAGGAAGAGGGACCAUAGAGAUGAUUAGGCUGCUGGAAUUUGUUCAAAAAAAUCAGGAGGAUGAUAUGGAGCUUCAUACAUUUCUUCAAAAAGCUGCGGCAGUGGAGAAUCAAUACUCAGACUAAUCGCCUCUUCUGUAAUAAUAAAGGAGAUUAUAUUUCACCUGUUUUUCAACUGCUGCUACACAAGAAAAAUACAAAACAGACUCAUACCAAGAUAUGAUGAGGACAUCAGGUUGGGAGACAUCAUAGAAGCCAUCCAGAAAUUCACCAAAAACAUAAGCAGUUGGGGAACCCACUGGACUCUACUUGCUGCAAUCUAUUAAGGCAUUUGAAAUGAGAGAAACAGAAGAUUGAGACAACAUACAAUGUGGCCACCAGAACACGUCAUAAAGGAAUUUACAAAGGAUAUCAACUUCUUUGUCAAUACGAUAUCCUUCCUGCACGAGGAUAUCAACUUCCUGCAUGUGCUUAACAGAAAGUUAACUAUGAUUUUGAAGAGGUCUAACGAGCAAUGGUGUAUUUCAAGAAUUGUGUUUCCGAAUGACUAUUUUAAUAAAUGCAAACCAUAAAAGCUGGCAUAAACCUAACUUUCGUUCUAUAGUUACUGGUUGGGAUGUAAUCACGCAAACAAGCUGAGCAGAGCUAUUUCCUAACAUUUAGAUUCGGUUUCUGCUCGUUACCUUUGUAUUGUUGCAGGGCUCGAAUUCGUUUAGUUCCGACGAUCCGAGUUUGCUUCAUUUGGCAUUUUGUCGUGCCUGAGCCCU
rnacentral:lncRNA from 1 species